AGAGUUUGAUCCUGGCUCAGGACGAACGCUGGCGGCGUGCUUAACACAUGCAAGUCGAACGCGCUCCAUUCGGUAGCAAUACUGAUGAAGAGCGAGUGGCGAACGGGUGAGUACCACGUGAGCAACCUGCCCCGAAGACUGGGACAACACCGGGAAACCGGUGCUAAUACCGGAUACCCCUGUCGGAUCGCAUGAUCCAA
rnacentral:rRNA from 1 species